UGACAAGGCUAAUAGAGAUGUUUCCUGCUCUUAAGUCCUUUCUUUCACAAGAGCAACCACCAACAGUAAUAAAAAAAUUCUUUGAAAAUGAAAUGAGUGAGAUUUACCUCUGGCACAUGCACUCUUUAAUGGCUGUAUUUCACACACACGUUCAAACAAUUGAAAAGGAAAGUAACUCUGUUGUAGAAGUGCUGACAAAUUUGGAGUCUGUGUGUAAAGUACUUGCACAAAGAAAGAACCAGCAUUUCAUGUCUUUAAAAGUUAAAGGACUAAUUACUCAGAAGCGCACAGAAGGAAAAGAAGAAGAGUGUAACAGGUUCUGUGUUGAAGUAGUUAACCUGUACAACAGAUGCUCAGAGUACUUAGCUAAGUGGAUGAAACCACUGGAAGAGUUCUCUUGUUUCAAGUGGAUGGUCUUGAGUGAAAUGCCAAACUGGACUGAUGUGGAACCUUGUGUUGUAUACUUGAUAGACAAGGGAAUAGAGCUUGAUGAUGUAAAGUGCUUUGACCAAGUUUGUAACUUGAGGCAGUUUGUAGAAAGGAACAAGAAUGAUGAAGACUUCAGUAAAUUACCAGCACAUAAAAAAUGGACCAGAUACUUUGAAGCAUCAAAGAAUAUUGAAUGCCACUCAGAACUGCUCAGAAUUGCACAAUUUUUUUUUGCUGUAACAUCCCACAAUGCUAAUGUGGAGCGAGUCUUUUCGCUGAUGCAAAGUCAGCGGACGAAGGAAAGGAACAAGCUGAGUGUUGAUACAAUGAAAGGUAUUCUGACUGUACAGUACAACUACUGAGAGACCUCUUGCGUUGACUUCCUCAACUUUUUAAAGUCCAACAAGGAACUACUUAAAAAUAUAAGAUCUACAGAAAAAUAUGUAUCGGCACAUCAAGCAACACACGCAGUGGUUGAAGAAGAGUUAGAAGACACCAACUAAGCUAAGUGGAAAAACGGAAUUCAAGAUUAUCAGCCAUAUGCAAAGGUGAUUGCAGUGGCUCCAAGUCUUGGGAAAACCAUGUGUGGAGCACAAGCAGUCUGUCCACACUGAAAAUUUUGAGCUCAAGCAUACCAGCAGCACAACACAUCUGCUGAACAACGCAGCUCCAAUUCCUGCAGAUAAACGAACUUCAGGCACAUACCACAGAGCAUUUCUGUGACUACACAACUGUGUUAUAACUGACUGAAUUGUGGUAAAGUGGCUUACAGCAGGAAAGGAAACACAACCGGCACAUCUGAGUCAAGCAUGUUAACCGAUGUGAUGAGCAAUGUGAACAAGUAUUUUAAGAUGUUUUUGGCAAGGAAAAGAUGUGGUGGGAAUAAUGACUGUAUAUAAGGUUUAUAAUUACUGUUAAUCACUUACUUGAAGAGGACAGUUGUUGUGGGUAUGGGAAAAGUGUAAGAUGGCAGAGGUGAGAUAGAAAGAGAAAAGUUGUUAACCUAUUCUGUUACUAACAGAGGUAAUAGCAUUACUCAAGAAAAUAAAUGCAUAUACUAGUAUGCUAAUAAUGACACAAAGUUAUGCUAAUAUAUUCCAUAUUUCCAUAUUUACAGGGACACCAUCCACACCACCCAAGACAGUCCAGCAAUCUGGAAGGAAGACCAGCACAAUACCACAGCAAUUGAUGCAAAGAGCAGCAGAUUUCCUGCCUCCCAGGAUGUUGUAAUUUUUCACUGGACAUCAAUGAUAUGCUUUGAUUAGUGUGACAGUGGAGGACGAGGAGGAAGAGGAGGAGGCAGCUUGCUGUAGCAGUAUAUUAUCACAGUCCUAAAAGGAUUACAGUAAGCACUGCAUUUCUCGUUGAGAAACAUUUUGUUAGCAGGAGCAACAAACUCUGGCAGUCCUGUAAAGGAAGUUACUUUAAGGCAAUAUAUCUCAUGUAAUGAGUAUCAUCAAAGAUUUGUUUAAUUUUUACCAGGUUUCUGAUUCCAUUAUUGGAGGCAAGGAUACUAGUGAACAUGACAAAAGUUUGAAACUUGGAGACCAUGCAUUUUUGUUUGUGAUUAAAGAACUGAGAAAUGGAAAUUUUUUAGGUUAUUCCUUUUAUCUGGGAAAGACUGAUAUUAUGCAGAGUGUGAGAAUGAUGACAUGUUCAUUAGGGUUAAGACAUUGAUACUUAAGUAACCACUUUUUUUUUCUUCCUCUGACCAAGAGGGAAUACAAUGUUAUUCUCUUGGAAUCUUGACAUGUUUGCCGUCAAUGGUAAAUGGAUCCAUUUCUCAGAUGAUUCACAAAAAUAUGAGACUUGCUCCUAACUGGUAAAUUCAACAUGUGUAGGAUUUUCAAGUAAUGAACAGAAUAGACACACAUUCCAUGGUAGGCUUACUGCCACAAGAAGCUGUCCUUAUUGCAGUAUAGGCAUGUAUAUCAGGUGCAUAGAUCCUUUUCAUUAUUGAAAUAGUUUAGUUACUCUUCAUUUUGAUGAUGUUUAUUGCUAAAUCCUGUAAAAUUUGCAAGGAAUGCAAGAACACCAUGGAAACUGUGCCAUUCACACACUGUAACAAGACAGCACUUCAGGUGCUGUGGCACAACUGGUCUUUGUUCAGUUCCCUUACCUUAGUUAUUAAUUAGAUGAACCAUACUUCCUUGACAAGACCACACUUCCUUGACAAGAUUAAGACUUGGAUUACCCACUGACUUCAGUUCCUAACUCUAAAUUUGAAGAUACAGUGAUGGCAUCAGACUACUUCUACCUCAUAAUCUUUUCCAUGUAACUGAUUGUGCCUGAAGAAGAUUUUUGAGCCUCAUGAAUGUCAAAUGACAAGGAUAUUUUGUCAGAUACCAGCCAUCAGUUAGACAGCAGCAGUGAGGCAGAUUAGAUUUAUGAUUUUACGUGGCCUUUUCACUUCCCAAUGAGGAAAAAAAGUGUAUUUUCUUUACCAGUCAUAAGUUUGUGUUGCCUUUGCAUGUGUUUCAACAACUAACCAAAAGCUUUAGUUUAAUGAAACUUCGAGUAUUUUAUAUCCUUAAAUAGGAAAUGGGAAGAAAUAAACAUGAAAAGUUGAAUAGUAAAUUUGCAUACAGUACACAGAUAUGCCCACAAAA